UGAAAUCUAAUAACCUUUUUUACCCAUCUCUCUCACUUGGAACUAGAGGAAAAUAAUCUCAAUUAUAGUAUGCACCACACUACAUCUUUAAUUACGAAGUAAGACCCAUGUACGGAAGUGAUUCUAAUAAGAUGAGAGAUGUGGUUUGUAAUGUGAUCAGCAUAUAUGCUACGACUAACUUUAUUGUUAGAAAACCAAAUCAUUCUUGAUCUAAUAGUAUUCUCUUCCUCAAUAUUAGAAUAGAUCCUUAAGUUCAAAUCCCUCUCCCCUAUUGAUCAAGAAAAAUGAAAAAAAACUUUAAUGCUAGAAAAGAUGUGGCAUAUCUUCCUUCAAUAAUUUAUUAAUCAACCCG
rnacentral:lncRNA from 1 species